rnacentral:lncRNA from 1 species
UAGCCUUGAUCUCCAAAAAAUGACGCGACAGAAAUGGCGACUUCACUGGGGACCCCCUAAGAGGGUUGAGCCUAACUUGGCUUUAUUUAAUUCUUUGUGCUAUAACUUGCUUAAAACAAAAACAAAAUAAAGGAUGGAAAUACUUGUAUAUAUGUUCUUCCUUCCUCUUUCUUCUUUCUAACGUGAGUGGUGAGAUAAGUCCUACACCCGGGCUUGAGUGAAAUAUAAGAUAGGAC